UGCAGAAAGAAAUAAACAUAACCAACCAGAUAAAAUAGCAAAGGAAAAAACAGAGUGAAACAGCCAAACAAAAAACACAUGGCAAAACAAACUGAAUGAUUUGCUAAAAAUUCAAAUUUGUUUUCAUUUCCAGGUUUUUUUUGUUUUGUUUGGCAACAUGUUCAUAUUUGGAUAACUUUAACAGGAUAAGUUUUAUGGAAAUCCAAAUCUUUUGGGCUAUUUAUAAGUGUAAUUUUGGUAAGGGGAUCCUCCUAAUAUCGUUUCUACACAGAAGUAGAUUGUUUCCUUAGAUCUGCAGUUUUUACUCUUUGUUUUAUUGACAAGGGUCCUAUUGGGUGGACUGGGGGAGAGAGGGAUGCUCAUUUUGUGUCUUUGAGUUCAUUUGCUUUUAAACACUGUGUUUUUAAUAUGUAUUUUAUUUGCUUUUAUGUUAAGCCCCUUGUGUUUCAGGUGAAAAGGUGCUAUACAUAUAAAUAAAGUUUAAAUUUGAGUUUUAAAAAGUUACAUUUUUUAAAUUUUUAAAAUAGUGUGUUCAAUAAAUGUUUUUCCUAAGGUGUCUUUUGGAUUCUGGCCCCCUGUGUGAUUGAGUUGACACCAUGCCUGCCUGUAAAUGAAUAGACUGAAUAAUGCUGGGUGGAGUCGUUGUUCCGUCUCCAUAGCAACGGGGAAGCGGGAGCAAUCUUAACUAACAGAACAAAAGUGUCAAAGGAAAAAAACGCAAUAAAUAAGGAGUCCACUGACAGCAUGAACAACAGAACUCAGCGGUUGAACUCGUUGUCUCGGUCGUCGACCGACGCGGGGACAGCUUUCCUGAACAGCAGGACGAGUUCGAGGCUGACGUGGGAGGUUCGAGCCCGGCAGGACGGGAAGCGCCGCAGUGUGCUCGGCAGCAGCCGGCCGGGCAGACACCACGGCCCGGAGGAGACGCCGAGGAGAGCCGUUCGGGUGCUGGAUGCUGAGGGCAACGAUGUGACUCCCCUGCCUCUGCUCCCAGUGAAGCCACAGCCAUCUACUGAAACGGCAGGAUUGUGUCUGGACGACUUGUUCAAUUCAGAUCACUCUAGCUCCGACUCCAGCCUUGAUCUGGACUCCACCUCCUCUUUAAGCAGGUGGUGACGUUCACAUCCAACCAAUGCGUUAGUGAUGGUGUCAGAGGAGGAAUAAUGUCUGCUUGUGUUUUCAGCUCAUUCGCUCUGUCCUCAAGGGAUUCAUGGACAAAGGAAAGUAAAGACAGUCUCCUUACAGAGGACAUCCACCUACACCUACCUACUCCAUGUGAUUAAUACACCUUUUUGUCUGUUUAUUUUUUUAUUUGUUUGUUUUGAUGAAUAUUUUCUUGUAUUUUUUAUCCCGGGGGGUCUGCACCCUUUGAGGCAACAUUCACACUGUCCUCGGCAACGCGCUUUCAAGCCAUUGACUGUAUAAGAAAACUGGACUGAUCCCUCCCCCCUCGCGUUACCAUAAGACUUCUAUGGAGAAAAAAAAACAGCUAUUACUCACUCUAUUUGUCAGAAAAAUAAUUAUUUCGCUACAAACUUAUUAUUAACAUAUUGUAUCCUAAUUUUUUUCAUUACGUUUUUUCUUUAUCCCAAGUUAUUCAAGUUAUAAACUGGCCAAUCAGAUGCCUCAGUAAAGCAUGUGGUGCCCACCUCAAACGUUUGAUUGGCAGAUUCUCCUGAGCUCACUUUCAGUGGUAUGGAUGUGAACUUCUAAGUAGCUCCCUCCUGAUUGGUAACAUCAUUUGCCAUAGUAAUGUAGUAACCAUAAUAACUGACUAGAAACAAUCGCUGCUUACUGACCAUGUCUGGCACCAAAUAGGGGUUUCCGUAUCACAGAAUGAUUUAGUCUCAUUUGGUUGGAGCUGGAAAUAAGACAUUUUUGCUCUUUAAGGCAUUAUCUAUGAGUGACUGAACUCAGUCCAGUUCUCUUAUGCAGUCAAUGGUUCAAGCGACCACUUCUAAUUAUAAGUCUAUGUCAAUGCAUGUUUCAUGCUUCCGUAUUCGAAGCUCUCGGGUUCAUUCAUAGCUACAUACAUUUUUAGGACCGUUCAUGGGCUCUAUGUACAAAAUGGGACAAUUACCUGUCACAUUUAAAAUGAGUUAAUAAAUGACAAUUUACUAAAGCAAAAAACUAUAAUUUAUUAAUUUUUUUUGCAUUCUGCUUCAAAGCCAAUGGAGCCUAAGUCCAGAGGUGUUAUCACUUUUUUAUAAUUUUGUUUGAAGUGAUCCCACCAAAGAAAGGAUUGGCUAAAAAACAAGCAUCAGAAGAGAUAAAAGUGACUGACAUAAUUCUUAUGGAGUCAGAGACGGUUACGCUGCUGGACAUCCCAAGCACCUUAAUCCACGAGGACGCUGACGGUGCAGAACUCGCCAGGUGAGGUCACGGAGCAGCUCCACUCAGGAAUCACAGCAGUGUAACCAUGCAACCAUGUGUAGCCGUGCAACUUAGUUUGUGUAAAAUCUUCAUUGACAAAUGGAUUUUUUCUGUUUUUUAACAGGGUGAGGACCGACCACUAUGUUGAACUUUGCAAAAGCAGAGUGCGCAAUGCCAUUGAACAAUCCACACAGACUAUCGUUGGAGAGAACAAAAACAAACUGAUACAGACCAACGAGAAGAUUGAGCUUGAAAAGAGUAUGAACUCACUUAAUCUUUGACCCUCUAACAAAGGAGUUCUAGUGUUUAUGUUCUUUGAUUUAUUGGAAUUAUGUAAUUCUUAACACGAUCAACGCAAUUCC
ensembl:lncRNA